GUUCUUGUCGCAACAUCCAUCAACGAAUGAAUGCAGUAACGAAGAAUUACUGUGCGAGAUCGGUUAGUAAAAAUACCAGUCAUAUUAUUGAGUGACUUAAGGGAAUAAGUGGUAUGUGAACCCCCAUUGCAACGAUGACCUCAUGGUCGUAUGAAAUUGAUGGAAAUAAACGAGCACAGGGUUACCGGCGUGAUUACUCUUAUGACGUUAUCUCUGCUACGCUAUAUUUUUGGACACGUGCGCAGCCACUGUUAAUUUCUUGCGCAGCGAUUAUUAUCGCUUGUUAUGCAAACGAUUAAGCAAACGAACGAGAAAAGUUGCGACUGUUAUACUUUUAGUACAUUCUUUCAGAAACAAAAUAAUUAACAAGAAUCGAUAAUUGUCUCAUUACUGUAUUAAAUACGUUUGAAAGAAUGAAGAAAUUACAUGAUAUGAUUGGAAAAAAUUAUAUUAUAUACAAAUAUUGUCUAAAGAAUUAUAAACAAAAUUAUAAAUUAGUAAUGAUUUAAUUUAAAAAAAUAGUGAAAGAUUAAAAAAUUAAAAUAUACUAUUAAAAGAAUAUGAAUAUAUGUAUGCUAGAUGUAUAAAACAUAAGAAAGAGCAUCAUUCAUAAAUCAAAAUUUAUUUCCAUUUAUAUAGUAUUGAAUAAUCGAUCAAACCGCAGAAAAUCAUUAUGAAUCAAACCUUAUUUCGUUCGAAUGUCAUCGAUUAAUAUUCGAACACAUUAAAAUCGUACCGUUGGCGGAGUGGCAGUGUCAAUCAGGCUUUGAAGACGAUCAAUUGUGCUUCGUCCUUUAAUCCAAUGAUCGAAAAACGUCAAACAAUUUACAUUCUUCGAACAACCCGAACCUUAACACUUAUGAUUUGCAUUUCUGUACCCUAUUACAAGCAACAAUCGAAAUUUUUUUCCGAUCUAGCAACGUUACACUGACAACAAUCCGCUUACGAAUGGAAAAUGACGUAUAAUGGCGGCUGUUUCGAAGGGCCCAGCGACAUCUAGUGAAGCAAAGGUGGAUCAUCUUACAAAUACAAAUACAAAUCGAACCACGUAUGAAGAAGGGAUAGAGCUAUGUAGCAAUCAUACGAGGCGAUAAAUAGAUGAAUGCGUCGAUGGUAUAUUAUACGAGGAGACGAUAUAUUCCAUCGUUCACGCCUACGUGAUGUCAUGUGCACGUCAGAAAUGCCGACCUUGCGGCUGCGGCUCAAGUCAGUGCACGCGUAAUGCGAUGCAUUUGUAUUGACCAAGCCUUUCGGCCGAUCCCACCAUUGCUUUGUGCUGAUAAGCAUACCUACGCUAUGCAACUUAUAUGCAUGAUUGAGCAUACGCGUGGUAUAUAGGGAAUUCAAGAUACCUCGUGAAAUUCCAAAGGAUGAAUAGUUCUACAAGUCUUAGUAAUGAUUGUGACUGAAAAAGGAUAUUUAGGUCAUUGGUAAAUAGCCAUAUUCAGACCAAUCAAUGAAUCAAGUUUAUAAAGGAAGGAAAAAAAAAGACAAAGGAAAAAACAAAAAAAUAUCUAUCUACAUUUUCAUAUUACAUAUUGUACAAAAAUGUACAAUGUAUACUAUAAUUAGAUUAGAAGAUAAUUAUUUAAUAGUACAGUAAAAUUAAAACGAAAAAAAAAAAAAUAAAUCCACAUUUAAUUCAAUAAUCCGUUUAAAUAAAAAUAUUAGAUUAAAUCUUAGCAUCCAAUGUGAUUGAUCUUUCAAAACAUAUUUUGCAGUGUAUAUUAAUAGAAUUAACUUUUCAUAUUGCUAAUCUGCGAGUAUCAUAGAUAAUGUAGCAGGUCGACUUACAACUUUUACGUUUCCGGCGCCAAAAGGAUUCCUAUUGCACGUGCCAGACUACUUGGAUUAAAUAACGUCUACGAAGGUGCGUCGACGUGACACUGCAGUAGUUUACUACACCGCAUUAUUUUAGACAUCAACAGGAUACUUGAUAAUUCAUUUUAAGCAAAAAUAAAAACAAUAUUUAUAUUAAUUAAUUCUUAUUCAACGAAAUAAAAAACGAACUUUUCUUUCAUAAAAGUCUAAAUCAUCGUUUGAAAAUAUAUUUAUAUUUAUUUUUAAGAGAUUUAAUUUGCAUAUCAUUAUUAUUAAAUGAAGAAUGAUAAUAAAAUAGACAAAAAUAAAUAACAAUAGCUCAUAAUAUUGCAAUUUAUUGCAGAAUAAUCUUCUGAAACCUUUAAGUCUUAUUUAAAAAAGAAAAAAAAUUGCAGCUUAAUCUUAUUUGAUCUAUCUUCUUAGAAGAAAUCGUUUUCCAUUAUUAUUUUCCAUAUUAUAUGUAAAAAAAUAAAAUAAAAAUAUAUACUAAU